ensembl:lncRNA
CGGCCAGUUCUUAAGAAUAUUUACCAAUGAGCAAUAUGACACAACUGUUUAUUUAAAAUUCAAGCAUAAAAUUAAACUUCAGAUAUCUAAUAUCUACUCUGACCCCACCAAUGUAAAUAAUUUGUAUCAGGUAUCAGUCACAUAUGUUAAUUUAGAGGUAGUAUUUAUUGUAGCAUUUGAAGAGAGUUGCAGAACUGCCUGUUGGUGUUUGAUUGAACUUGUAUUGCUCACCAUCUCACCACGACAUGCUGAGACUGUUUGUGUUGCUUACAGCAGUGGUCUGCUGUAAUGAAGCCUGGGGAAAAGUACUGCACACUGGAGAUACCACAGACAGCCCACAAGAUGUGACGGGGGAUGAGUUUUUCAACCAGAAUGAUGACUUCAUAGGCAAUGAGCUAUAUGACACCACUGCUCAGCCCACUGCUGAUGGCCAAGUGACUGAAACAAUAAUAGCUGACAGUUGGGAGGAUAUUUACGGCUACACCCAAAAUUAUGACAUCGGAGCCGAUAAGCAAUAUGACGGUGACGACAGUCCUACUGACGAAACUGAACCAGUAAACUAAAAUAAAUGACCAGGCUAAACCCUGCA